rnacentral:rRNA from 1 species
AUACGGAGGGUGCAAGCGUUAUCCGGAAUCAUUGGGUUUAAAGGGUCCGCAGGCGGAUUAAUAAGUCAGUGGUGAAAUCCUCUCGCUCAACGAGAGAACUGCCAUUGAAACUGUUAGUCUUGAAUUCGGUCGAAGUAGGCGGAAUGUGUCAUGUAGCGGUGAAAUGCAUAGAUAUGACACAGAACACCGAUAGCGAAGGCAGCUUACUAGACCUGGAUUGACGCUCAUGGACGAAAGCGUGGGGAGCGAACAGAAUUAGAUACCCUAGUAGUCC